CUCUUAUCAAGAGAGGUGGAGGGAAAGAGCCCGAUGAAACCCGGCAACCUGUCCUUUUAAGGAUAAGGUGCCAAUUCUCUCAGAAGAUUUUUUCUUCUGAAAGAUGAGGG
rnacentral:ncRNA from 18 species